GACGAACGCUGGCGGCGUGCUUAACACAUGCAAGUCGAACGGAAAGGCCUCUUUCGGGGGGUACUCGAGUGGCGAACGGGUGAGUAACACGUGAGUAACCUGCCCUUGACUUUGGGAUAACUUCAGGAAACUGGGGCUAAUACCGGAUAGGAGCUCCUGCUGCAUGGUGGGGGUUGGAAAGUUUCGGCGGUUGGGGAUGGACUCGCGGCUUAUCAGCUUGUUGGUGGGGUAGUGGCUUACCAAGGCUUUGACGGGUAGCCGGCCUGAGAGGGUGACCGGCCACAUUGGGACUGAGAUACGGCCCAGACUCCUACGGGGGGCAGCAGUGGGGAAUAUUGCACAAUGGGUGGAAGCCGGAUGCAGCAACGCCGUGUGCGGGAUGACGGCCUUCGGGUUGUAAACCGCUUUCGCUCAUGACGAAGCUUUGUGUGACGGUAGUGGGUAAAGAAGCACCGGCUAACUACGUG
rnacentral:rRNA from 1 species